GACGAACGCUGGCGGCGUGCUUAACACAUGCAAGUCGAGCGUGCAGAGGACUUCGGUCCGAAGCAAGCGGCGGACGGGUGAGUAACGCGUGAACAAUCUGUCCCAGACAGGGGGAUAACACUCUGAAAAGGGUGCUAAUACCGCAUAAGACCACGUUCUCGCAUGGGAAUGGGGGUAAAAAGAUUUAUCGGUUUGGGGUGAGUUCGCGUCUGAUUAGCUAGUUGGUGAGGUAACGGCCCACCAAGGCGACGAUCAGUAGCCGAUCUGAGAGGAUGACCGGCCACAUUGGAACUGAGACACGGUCCAAACUCCUACGGGAGGCAGCAGUGGGGAAUAUUGGGCAAUGGGCGAAAGCCUGACCCAGCAACGCCGCGUGAGGGAAGAAGGUUUUCGGAUUGUAAACCUCUGUCCUAAGGGAAGAAGGAAGUGACGGUACCUUAGGAGGAAGCCCCGGCUAACUACGUGCCAGCAGCCGCGGU
rnacentral:rRNA from 1 species